GGUAUAAUUAAAAAAAUAAAUAAAUGAAAAAGUAAAGGAAGAAAAAGAAGACCGACUCUCUUCCGUAUCAAGGAAGAAAUAGUUGGCGGCAGAAGGGGUAUUCUGAAUUCCGAUUACCCACCAGUCUAUCUUCACCGAUUGAUUUCGAAGAAGAUGAUGAAAUUCUCUCUGCAAUCCAAAAAGCCCUCUUCUUCUUCUUCAAAACCUAAACCCAUUAUCAAUCCCUCCGAAGAUGAAGAUGAAGAUGAACAAGAAGAACAUUCCAAGCACCACCAAGUUCAAUUCAUUACCGAAUUCGACGCCUCUUCCAAAACCACCCAACCCAAGAGAUCAAUUCCGGUAAUCGCUCCCAUCGAGAACGAAUGGAGACCUCACAAACGCAUGAAGAAUCUCGAACUCCCGAUCUCCUCUUCCUCCGCCGCACCGGCGCCACUCUCCUUCGAGGCCGCGGCACCUGACUCCCUCGAUGACAAGACUACCAUAUCCUACGGCCUCACUAUCCGCAACAACAACAAAGCCCCAAAUUCCGAAUCCAAUAGCGGCGGCGGCGGCGAGAAUGUCGACGAACAAGAACUGCCGCCUCCGCCGCCGAGAUCUGAUAAUAAUAAUAAGGGUGUGGAGAACAUGUUGCUACAGAAGCUGAAGGAUGAUUUGAAGAGGUUACCUGAAGAUAAGGGUUUCCAAGAGUUUGAUGAUACGCCGGUUGAGGGUUUCGGCAAGGCUUUGAUCGCCGGAUAUGGAUGGAAAGAAGGGAGAGGGAUUGGGAAGAACGCUAAAGAGGAUGUUGAAAUUGUUGUGCAGAAGAGACACACUGGGAAGCACGGGUUAGGGUUUGUGGAAAAGGUGGAUGAGCCAUUUAGGUUUUCUGUUGGGAAAAAUGUUAGAGUAAUUGCAGGGAGAGAUGUGGGUUUGAAGGGUCGAAUCGUUAAGGUAUUGGAGAGUAAGUCUGAGGUUGUUUUGGAGCUCUCUAAGAGUGAAGAGAAAGUGCAAGUUCGAGUCGAACAUCUUGCUGAAUUGGGGUCUAAAGAAGAGGAGAUUUGCUUGAACAAAUUGAGAGAAGCAGCAUCAGAGUCGAAAAAGAGGAAGAUGGAGACAAUGACAAUGACAACGACAACGACAAAGAGCACUAGCAUUAAGGCUUCUUGGCUUAAGAGUCACAUUCGGGUUAGGAUAAUUAGCAAGGAUUUGAAAGGAGGGAGAUUGUACUUGAAGAAAGGGGAGGUUGUGGAUGUAGUUGGGCCGAGAACGUGUGAUGUAUCGAUGGAUGAGAGUAGGGAGUUAAUCCAAGGUGUGUCACAAGACUUUCUUGAGACUGCACUACCUCGCUGCGGGGGGCCUGUUUUGGUUUUGUGUGGUAAGCAUGAUGGUGUGUUGGGAAAUCUUGUUAGCAAGGAUUUGGAACAAGAAACUGCUGUGGUUCAGGAUGGCAAUAACCAUGAAUAUGUAAAUGUGUGGCUUGAUCAAAUUGUAGAGUAUAUCGGGGAUCCCACCUACCUCGGAUAUUGAUAUGUUAUUAAAUCUAAAACCUAUUCUUGUUGCUGUGGCUAAUCGAAUUGAGAAACUUCAAAGGAAUUUCUUAUGGCAUUGGUGACGAACCAAAAUUCCAUUUGGUUAAAUGGGCUAUUGUCUGCACUCCCAUUUCUUCGGGUGGCUUGGGGAUAAGAAAGGUAAUACUUUUUAAUGAAGCUUUGCUUGGGAAGUGGCUAUGGAGAUUUGGGAUGGAGAGGGUUGCCCUUUGGAGGCAAGUAAUAGAGGUGAAAUAUGGCUGUGGAUGGGGUGGCUGGUGUACUAGGCCUGUUAAUGGUCCAUAUGGUGUUGGCUUGUGGAAAAAUAUUAGUCAGGGAUGGCCUUCUUUUUCUUGCCACGUUCUAUUUGAGAUUGGGGAUGGGUCUAGGGUGAAAUUUCGGCAAGACCAUUGGUGUGGUGAGACAUCUCUUGCCCUUUACCCUAUUACCUUAGCACAUACAACACCAAUUAACCAAUGACAAACCCCCUCUUUGUAAGGUUAUCCAAUGUAUGAAUCUUUCGCAAAGCUACUGUCCACAAAAUAACGACUCUCUCUUGGGAACCUGCUCGGACCAAAUGCCUUUCCACAGGAAAAGGGCAGUAGUAGCACCCCAAAUCUCCCUGUAAAAACAGGUUAUCAAAAAUGUCAUUUCCCUUGAGACACCAUCUUAUUUUGAGGGGUUUAGCUUGGGUCCAAUGCUGCACUGCACUGUACUAAACACAAUGAUUGGCAAUGUGUCUGCAUCAUGCUCCAUCAGUUUCUUAUUUUGAGUACGUGAACAAGUACUUAAGAAUAUUGGAGCAUGGAGUUCGAAAGUUUUUUGAAAAUUUUCCGUUUGUUUGUCAUUAUCAAAGCUUCAAGCCUAUUCAAAUACCUAGACUCAGCAGUUUGUUGUUGCAGCAGUCACUGGAUGUUUUCAUUCAAUAGCAUGUGCAACAAAUGCUAAAGAUGUUGAUGAUAGUUUUAUAUACUUCGCCUUCUCACAUUAUGGUUCAACCAGGGAUCUACUGCAGAAGUUCAAAUGGCUGUACAGAAUUUCGUUUUUAUUUUCUGAAUAUUACUAUUAUUUUGGUUUCUUGCAAUUUCUUGCUAAACAAACAGAAUUUCAUUCUAAUUCUUUUCUUGCAUUGCGUGUGAACUUGUUCUAUAUGUAAUCGGUGAGAGUACACUCCAAUUGCUUUCCGGCAAAGAUUAAACGCUGUUGAUUGGGGGAUGACUUCUUCAUCUUGGAUCUUGGCCUUCACGUUAUCGAUCGUAUCGGAGCUUUCCACCUGCAAAUGGAUGGUCUUUGCCGGUUAGGACUUUCACAAAGAUCAGCUUUAACAGAAAAGGGAUGGAUCUUUGUAAGAGAAAAAGUGAGAGAUUUUGAUCAUAGAAUGGUGGAAGAAGACGUAGUUGAUUCAAUGGAGAUGAAGGAGAGUGGCUUGGUGGAUCUGGGUUUAGAACAAAAGACUAACCACUAAGAGAUGAAAAAAACAAAAGAUUCAUACAUGUUUUUCAGUUUUUGUGAGGCGGUGGGUUUCCCAAAGAAAAAGAAAAAAAAAUAAAGAAAAGGGAAAAGCCGAUGUAGUAUUUUUUUUUUCUUUACAUUUUAGCGUUGACGUGGCCAUAUCAACUACUCAAAUUCAGACACAUUAGCAUCUAAUUUAAUAUUUCAAUAUUAGACAUGUCAAUUG